GAUGAACGCUGGCGGCGUGCCUAAUACAUGCAAGUCGAGCGAACGGACGAGAAGCUUGCUUCUCUGAUGUUAGCGGCGGACGGGUGAGUAACACGUGGAUAACCUACCCAUAAGACUGGGAUAACUUCGGGAAACCGGAGCUAAUACCGGAUAAUAUUUUGAACCGCAUGGUUCAAAAGUGAAAGACGGUCUUGCUGUCACUUAUAGAUGGAUCCGCGCUGCAUUAGCUAGUUGGUAAGGUAACGGCUUACCAAGGCAACGAUGCAUAGCCGACCUGAGAGGGUGAUCGGCCACCCUGGAACUGAGACACGGACCAGACUCCUACGGGAGGCAGCAGUAGGGAAUCUUCCGCAAUGGGCGAAAGCCUGACGGAGCAACGCCGCGUGAGUGAUGAAGGUCUUCGGAUCGUAAAACUCUGUUAUUAGGGAAGAACAUAUGUGUAAGUAACUGUGCACAUCUUGACGGUACCUAAUCAGAAAGCCACGGCUAACUACGUG
rnacentral:rRNA from 1 species